UACAGAGGGGGCAAGCGUUGUUCGGAAUUACUGGGCGUAAAGGGCGCGUAGGCGGCCUGUUAAGUCGAACGUGAAAUCCCCGGGCUCAACCCGGGAACUGCGUCUGAUACUGGAUGGCUUGAAUCCGGGAGAGGGAUGCAGAAUUCCAGGUGUAGCGGUGAAAUGCGUAGAUAUCUGGAGGAAUACCGGUGGCGAAGGCGGCAUCCUGGACCGGCAUUGACGCUGAGGAGCGAAAGCCAGGGGAGCAAACGGG
rnacentral:rRNA from 1 species